rnacentral:tRNA from 1 species
GCCUGGGUGGCCCAGUCGGUUAAGCACCCGACUUUGGUUCAGGUCAUGAUCUCGCCGUGUGUGGGUUCGAGCCCCGCUUCGGGCU